UAGGGAAUCUUCCACAAUGGACGCAAGUCUGAUGGAGCAACGCCGCGUGAGUGAAGAAGGCUUUCGGGUCGUAAAACUCUGUUAUUGAAGAAGAACGUGUGUGACAGUAACUGGUCAUGCAGUGACGGUAUUCAAUCAGAAAGUCACGGCUAACUACGUGCCAGCAGCCGCGGUAAUACGUAGGUGGCAAGCGUUGUCCGGAUUUAUUGGGCGUAAAGCGAGUGCAGGCGGUCUUUUAAGUCUGAUGUGAAAGCCUUCGGCUUAACCGAAGAAGGGCAUCGGAAACUGGGAGACUUGAGUGCAGAAGAGGAGAGUGGAACUCCAUGUGUAGCGGUGAAAUGCGUAGAUAUAUGGAAGAACACCAGUGGCGAAGGCGGCUCUCUGGUCUGUAACUGACGCUGAGGCUCGAAAGCGUGGGGUAGCAAACAGGAUUAGAUACCCUGGU
rnacentral:rRNA from 1 species